ACUGGGGACAGCAAAGCACUCUGCCCGGGCUGCCAAGCGCCCACUAGCAGAGGCCACCAUGGCUCCGGAGCAGCAGAACCCAGCCAGACAGGCCAGUGAUCUUUGAGGGGGUCUGAGUUCCACUGGAAUAUUCCUGAAUGAAUGGAUGAUACACCUCUGUCCUUCUCUUACACGUGUAUUAGGUGGUCCACUUGGUUGGUCAUUUCCUUACUCCAUGUAUUGUGAGUCCUUUGCCAUUAAGACUGAGCUAAACUCCUUAAGAAGGGCUUCUGGAUCUCUCUCCCAAGGGAACCCAGCAUCCUGAUAUUAGCUUAAAGCAGGAAUAAGAAUAGUUUUUCCUUAAAAUAGAGCUGAAGUCUAAAAUUGGACCAGGUUUCCAAUAGCCUGUUGUCCAAUAAAGAAGUUUGUUUUCAAGGAAUAGCUUUUGUGACUUAACAUUGCUAAGGUAGAUUUACUGGGAAGAAAAACUGAAGAAAAAUUUAGGAGAUAUAGUAUCUUUAAGACAGAAAAACACUGGGUAGAAAAGAAAGUGAUGAAAAGAAUGUUAUGCUGAGCCAAGUCAGCCAUUUAAUGACAAAAUUCUUCUUGUUUAAAUUGGAAACUAUUUGGGCCAAUUAAUGUAGUCUUAAAGCAUAUUCUUAAUUUCUGGAGGCUUUGUUACAAGAAAGCCAAAAUAAUCAGGAUUUACUGAUAAGUUUCAGAGCCCUUUUCCUGUUCCAAAAUGGCUUGGGGUUCAGAAAGAUGAAUCAUGUAAUUUCAUAAGAAUUCCUUAUAAUGUAGUAUGAAAUUAUGCUCCCAUGCUCUGAAGUGUUUCUAAAUAGCUCUGGCCACAUCUUGGAAAUUCACUGUCUGAGAAUGUAUAAUUUAAGAAAUCGUAACAAGACGGCAGAAUUUUGUUCAGAAGGAUUUUUAGGGAGUUCAUCUCCACUCACUUGAAAGCAGUUGAAGUUCUUUUCUAAGUCAGCUUUCAUCUCCUGUCACACUUUCCUGCCAAGCCACAAUUUUCAGAGCUUUCAGGAUGGGUUCUUCCAACGUGGGAUGGUGGUCUGUAACAUGGGGAAGGAGUUGAUCCAUUUAACCCUUUCCUCUCAUGUGAUGCUGUGAAUGUGUACUUCUUUCAGAGCUUUUCCAGUCCACAGAAGUUGCAUGCAAAUGACUAUAUGAUAAAUGGAAUGCUGCUUUAACUCUUUAAGAUAAAUGCUGAAUGGACCACAAAUGAUACAUGGAACAAGAAACUGUACUUUAAUGGACAGUAAACACAAUGAAGAGAUUACCAGGUGUGUAGAUGCCAUGAUUACGUGAGCAUUAGAAACACAGCUUUUGAUUGCUUUCCUCAAGUUACUUCUUAAAACUCUGGGUGUUGGUGAGGACAGGUGUUAAUAUGGCAAAGAAUGGUUUCAAAUCAUCAUUCCAGGAAAAUAAGGAAGUAGGAUUGAGACUUGGUAAGUAUGAUGCUCCAAAGUGAGAUGACUUUAGCACCAUUUGAUUGUCCCUGGACCCUGAAUCUGGGACAGCUCUUUUCAGAUACUUUUUGAGAAAUGAGUGGUACCCUGUCUUCAAAACAGCAAGCACAGAUGCCCUGCAGCUGUCCCU